CCUACGGGGGGCAGCAGUGAGGAAUAUUGGUCAAUGGACGAGAGUCUGAACCAGCCAAGUAGCGUGAAGGAUGACUGCCCUAUGGGUUGUAAACUUCUUUUAUAUGGGAAUAAAACGUUCCACGUGUGGGAUUUUGUAUGUACCAUAUGAAUAAGGAUCGGCUAACUCCGUGCCAGCAGCCGCGGUAAUACGGAGGAUCCGGGCGUUAUCCGGAUUUAUUGGGUUUAAAGGGAGCGUAGGUGGAUUGUUAAGUCAGUUGUGAAAGUUUGCGGCUCAACCGUAAAAUUGCAGUUGAAACUGGCAGUCUUGAGUACAGUAGAGGUGGGCGGAAUUCGUGGUGUAGCGGUGAAAUGCUUAGAUAUCACGAAGAACUCCGAUUGCGAAGGCAGUUCACUGGACUGCAACUGACACUGAGGCUCGAAAGUGUGGGUAUCAAACAGGAUUAGAUACCCCUGUAGUC
rnacentral:rRNA from 1 species